GUGGUAAAAGUCUAUAGCCUGUGGCCAGAGGAUAGAAAAAGUGAAACAUUAAAUAGUUUUGGUUCUGGUUAUUGACCUAACAGUGUUCUAACGCAAGAUUCGAUCAUCGUUUGAUGAUGAGAAGGUGAAUACCUCAGGAGUGGACUUUCUGUAACGCAGAGGGCGAGUAUCUGUUUACUUUGAUUGCUUUGAAACUGUGUGCUCAUCAGCAAACAUACCUGAGCUGCCGUGUGGCUUCACCGCCAGAUAACCUGCUCCUGUGGCUGCUGUACAUGUGAACAUCAACUUUGAUUCUCACCUGAGAGUCGAGCUUUAGCAUCAAUGGCGGACAGGAAUGGUCAUGUGGAAAUCACAGUUCCCAUCGACUUCUGUUCUUUAUUGCCAUGUCGGAACGAUGGACGAUGUCAAAACACGGGAACCUCCUACAUCUGCCACUGCCCCAGCAACUUCAGGGCCCACACUGUGAGCACUAUGUAGAUGACAGAACGUUGAACGUCAACUGGGUCACCACCGCACCCCAGCCAAGGGAGACAACCACAGCCAACUCUCUAAGCGCCCCGGGGACUGCGGCCCUUGGUUCUCUCCUCGCCUUAGUGGUUCUCACCUUAAUAUUCGUCGUCUGCUGCUUGUGGAGGUCAAAGACACGACAUCUACCCCAAUCCACUUCCGGUCGGCCUGCAAACGGAAGGACGAACACGAUGCCCAGCCUCAGCAGCUUCAACUCCAUUUCGGAAAGAGUGUCGUACACUGUCCACAGAGAUACGAGUGUGGACAGCCGGGUAGAUGGAGGGUCGGUCAACCACGGGUAUGACCCGGAUAGAGACUUGCCUCCGCCGUAUCUGUCAGUCGUGGGGGAGCCAAAGCUCAUCAUUGACGUGGACCACUGUCAGGAGCUGCCGCCAUCGUACAAUGACGUCGUCGCCGCGGAAAGUGACGUGUACGCUACGUCAGGGGCAAGCGAGGUCACGACGUCACAGAACGAACACAGGAAUUCGGAAUGCAAUGUUACGUCAAUGCAGGACAGACACACUGCGUCACUGGACGUUGAGGAUACGUCAGUCCACAGAGAGACUACGUGUGUAGACGUCGACAUUUCUCCAGUAUAGCGCACAAACACUAGUACACAGUGUGAAGGCGAGCUUUACUUGUCAGUUAGUCCACAGAUCUGACGGCCUUAGCGUACCUGUACAUUUUAUACGUUGUACAUAAACAUUUAUACAUUGUACAUAAACAUACAUUGUGCAUAUGUAUUUAUGCAUUUACCAUACAUUUUGUACAUUGUACAUAUACAUACAGUGUGAACACGUUUUCUAUAGUGUACAUACAUAUUUUAUACAUUGUACAUAAACAUUUAUAUAUUGGACAUACACAUUUAUACAUUGUACCUAUGUAUUUCUACAUUUUACAUACAUUUUAUACAUUGUACAUAGACAUAUUUAUAGAUUGUAUAUAGACAUUUUCAUACAGUGUGCAACAUUUUGUAUAGUGUACAUACACAUUUUAUACAUUGUAUAUAGACAUAUUCAUACAGUGUGCAACAUUUUCUAUAGUGUACAUACACAUUUUAUACAUUCUCAGUGCACAUCGAAAUUGUAAUAACAGAGACAACAACUAACAAAAAGACAAUCAAUCAAUCAAUCAGUCAAUUAAUCAUAUCACCAUGUACCUUAUUCCAAACGCAUUUUAAUUAGUUUGUUUUAAAAGCAUUUAAAAACAAAGCUGGAGGUGUACAAACACUAAGUAUCCGGGUGUUCUGAACUGUUUUUAUUAUUCCUUUCGAGAUAUUUUUUUCUACCCCUCGAAGACGUUCCUUUGGUUCUCAGCAGCAGCCGGACACAAGAUUCAGCAAGUAGUUCACAUCACUGGUAUGUUUGUGAACUGAUCUACAAAGAAAGAAUAGAAAGUGAAAUGUCAUAGAGUGCAAAGAGAUAUUAUUUGUGAGUAUUGAGUGACAUGCGGAUGCUGUAACACAUCACAAGACCCGGACUUGAUUUCCUAAACGCGUUUAGGCCUGCACGGCCUUAGAUAACGAUGUCUCGAGUGACGUCAUUGGGGUCACCAUGACUCGACUAAAUCUUUGCUCCUUAGGAGUAUGCGCUGUACAAAUUUUUUAUUAUUAUUAUUAUUAUUAUUAUUAUCUGUUCUCAGCACAUAUCAUGUUGUGUACACAUCGCUUGUGCAAUACCCGUUACCCUUAGUAGCACGUGACUGUCUUCGUGUAAACUAUCAAUGUUACUGUGUACAAUAUAUUACACUUAAGUUAUAUGUGUAAACUAUCGUGAAGUCUGUGCCAUGUCUCAAUGAGUUCGAUGCUGAUAUUUAUUGUGUAACUUUUCUUGGCUUAUACCAAUAGUUUGCUUGUUACAACUGAAUAAGAAUAUUUGAACUUGUUUAACCCGUUGUUCGUUCAGACACAUUUAAAUACAAUAUAACAGCUGUGCAACAAUAUUAACAUCAGCAAGUAGUUUUAUUUUGUCUUUUGUUGCUGGUGUUGUCAUCUUAUUCACAGAAUAUGGCGUCGGCAUCGGUUGGUAAAGGUGUGGAGGUUGUUGAUGGCGUUGCAAGGCGAUGGAUAUCGUUGGUUGUGUGUUUCAACAUCAGCAAACACCGAGCCAACUUUAAGCAUCUUGGAGCCUCUUCUACCACAAACUUGUCGGCAAAUAGGAAAACUGUUUCCGAUAAUAAGUUUCUCUACUUCGAAGAAUGUUGGAUAUUACAUUCCUUUAACAGAACGAUCGAAUAACAAUAAACAUACCCUGGCCAGUUUACUGAUAUGUGGUUUCUUCAAAAUGACAGCUUUGAUCAUUCUGUCUCUC